rnacentral:rRNA from 1 species
CCUACGGGAGGCAGCAGUGAGGAAUAUUGGUCAAUGGGCGGGAGCCUGAACCAGCCAAGUCGCGUGAAGGAAGAAGGUACUUAGUAUUGUAAACUUCUUUUGUCGGGGAACAAAGGCGGAGACGCGUCCUCGGAUGAGUGUACCCGAAGACAAAGCAUCGGCAAACUCCGUGCCAGCAGCCGCGGUAAUACGGGGGAUGCGAGCGUUAACCGGAUUUAUUGGGGUUAAAGGGUGCGCAGGGGGGAGAUCAAGUCAGCGGUAAAAUGUCGGGGCUAAACCCCGGCCGGCCGUUGAAACUGGUUUUCUAGAGUGGGAGAGAGGUAGGCGGAAUUCGUGGUGUAGCGGUGAAAUGCAUAGAUAUCACGAAGAACUCCGAUGGCGAAGGCAGCAUGCCGGCUCCAUACUGACGCUGAGGCACGAAAGCGUGGGGAUCGAACAGGAUUAGAUACCCGGGUAGUC